rnacentral:rRNA from 1 species
AUACGUAGGGGGCGAGCGUUGUCCGGAAUCAUUGGGCGUAAAGCGCGUGUAGGCGGCUUGCCAAGUCCGGUGUGAAAUCUCGGGGCUCAACCCCGAAACUGCACUGGAAACUGGCUUGCUAGAGUCCGGAAGAGGAGAUUGGAAUUCCUGGUGUAGCGGUGAAAUGCGCAGAUAUCAGGAAGAACACCCGUGGCGAAGGCGGAUCUCUGGGACGGUACUGACGCUGAGACGCGAAAGCGUGGGGAGCGAACAGGAUUAGAUACCCUGGUAGUCCACGCCGUAAACGAUGGGCACUAGGUGUGGGAGGUGUCGACUCCUUCCGUGCCGUAGCUAACGCAUUAAGUGCCCCGCCUGGGGAGUACGGCCGCAAGGCUAAA